ensembl:lncRNA
GCAGACUCCUCAUCUCCACUUCACCUUGCCACUGGGUCUGGGAGAGAUUGGUUCAUUGUCAAGGAGAUUUUUUUUUACCCAUGAUUCCAUAUGGUAUGGACCGGACUACAUGUUGCCCCACAUGCCACUGCAAAUGUUUUCUCAAUUAGGUGUCUUAUCUCCCGUGAGUUAGCAUCAGAUGAAGCUUGCUGACAGCGUAAUGGCAGGGAAAGCUUCCGACGGCUCCAUCAAAUGGCAGCUUUGCUACGACAUCUCGGCCAGAACUUGGUGGAUGAAGCCAUCAUGUGCAAGUCUACUUCCACAAUGGCUGGCAGCUUCGUGUUCGUGGAAACCCCUUGCCUGUGUUUGCCUGAAUUCAUGUCGUGAGCCGAAUUUCCCAUUUCAACUUUUGAAUGCUAAUUGUCAACUGAACAACUUCUCCAAAUGCCCGUUUUCUGCAUGCCCUCGAAGAUAAUGCCUAAUGAAGAUUUUCCUAGGAAUUGGCACCAGCCCUUUCAACAUAAUGACUGAAAUAACUUAGAAAUUGCCAAAUAAAUGAAAAUAAUUGCAAUAAAUGAAAAGAUUCAAAACGAACAGAACCGGGUAAUAAUAAAGCACAAGACAGUCUCAGUACCUGGGCUAUUUUUAGGAAAGUCCAUGGCAAACCUAUUUAUAGACCUUGAAUUGGAUGCAUUUACAUGCUCUUUUAAAAUAUAUUUAUACAGCAAGUGGCUUGAUCUGAGCUAAUUAUCAAAUGAUCAGCUUUAAGUAUCAGCCACCCUUGUAAAUAUACGUAACCAUAUCAUGUCUAAGAAUAUCCACCAAUCUCAGAUGUUUCUAUGCCCUCCAAACAUUCCUUUUCUCUCAGUAAUAGAUUCUAAGAAAACUCCAAAUGAGGGAGGGUUGGGCUUUUUUCUUCCACAUACAUUAAGAAUGUAUCCUUAUCGUUUUCUCUGAGGUCAGCCCUGUGCAACUGCUUUUCAAAUGCAAUUCACUGUUCUUAGAGAGAAGCAAAUACAUUAGACUAGGUCCUUUUUUUCUCCUUAAAUCUAAUUAGGAUCCAAAUGUGCUUCAUUCGGAAAUGUGAUUGGCUGCUUAAGCUAGCCUCUACUCUUCUGCUAUCGUUCUAAAAAAUCUUGAUUUCCUGUUGUUACGGUCAUGUUUCUCCUGUGAACUUUAGACAGUGAAAUAAAUGCUUUGUCCUUCCUUA